rfam:Thermoplasmatales archaeon SM1-50 WOR1_30_36_405, whole genome shotgun sequence.
GGGCCCGUAGCUUAGAUCGGUUGGAGCAACCGGCUGAUAACCGGUAGGUCGAGAGUUCAAAUCUCUCCGGGCCCA